CCUGGUAGCUAGGCUACAUUAAGCCGCAACUCAUCUUAAUUUCUGAGACUGGAGUUCACAGAGGAGCGGAAGAAUGAGGUGAGAAGGUUGCUUCCACAAAAGCGCCGCCUUCCGCCGUGCGGGCGUCGCCUCGGGUCAGUAUCAAGCUCCUGCCCGCCUCAGUUCCACAGAGUCGGCCCACGGCAAACGCGGCGUUCAUGGCGGUGUCUGUCAAAACGACACGGCUGAAGCAUCAAAGCUGCACUGCCAGACAGUUACCGUUUGCCACCCCUGUGUUUCACCCCUGUGAUUUACCAAUGAGGCAAUGGCCCCCGCAGCGUUCGUCACAGUGUCCGGGUCGUCGUGGGUCAGGAGCCCCCCUAAGGCCCCCACCAGCCCAGCGCUGUCCCCCUGCGUCCCUUCCAGGGUCUCCUGCACCCAGCCGUCUCUCUCCACCAGCGCCCCCAGGAGGCACUCAUCGGGUCAGCCGCAGGCUCCCUCUCCCCUGUUCGGAGUCAGGACCCCAUUACCGUGGAAACGCAUAAACAAGCCCCCCUUCAGAGCGGAGUUAACCCUUUCCGAACGGCGGAGCGGAGGGGCCGGUCACCGUUCAGGCGGCCACGAAACCUCUCGGGCUGCCAGCUCCAGGAAACCUGGCGCUCUUCUGACGCACGUCGUCGGCCCUGACUGAGCGGGUCCUAGCGCGAUACGGACAGAUCGCUCAUAAACGCGCAGGCGCGUGACCCGCCAGGGGGGUCCGUGCGUGAUCUACGGUCACGCUGCAUUUGUACAGUACGCCGAGUUACGAGCCAAACGCAGCCUUGUCUCCCCCCGACACACAAUGGCGUAUGGUGAUUGAUUGGCCUCAAUAAAGCUUUCUCAUUAAACCCGACGCGUUUAUCAACUUUUAAAUUUGUCCGCUGGAAAAUGGCUCUACCAGCCAAAACUUGGCCCUACUUCAUUGAGCAAAUACAGUCGCUUUUACAGCCUGGUCCGUCACGCUCAAUACGGCUCGCGUUUAAAAUUUACAGGCGCUGACAUGUUGCGAAGCAUGGCAUUCAGCGGUGUGAGCGCGUCACGCGUGAUCGUUUCUGACCCUUUCAGACGCUUUGUGAUGGGGGUGCUGAGCAGGUACUGGGCUGUGGGAAAGGGCAAAUGCACAGACCGAUCAGUAAAUUCUGCAUUCAGCACACGGGCAUUUACUACACUGGGCAUGAAUAGAUUUGUCAGACUAUAAACAUUUUAAGUUACGGUGGGUGUCUGCGCUCGCUAACAGUGGGUAGCAUUUCAGCUGUAAGUACAAUGUAAGUACUAAAGCACACUGUCUGCGAAGAAUUUGUUAUUUUAAUCCAACGGGUUUUGAGCGUCAGGACACUGAAAUUGUGUAAACAACACAGAAGAACCCAGAAUUAUAACCACCAUUCUGGUGCUCAGUGAUUAUUGUGUUACGGAUGGACGGUCUAAUCAGUCAGUGGAAUCCUUUAUGAAGCUUUUGUCAUUUAUGUAGUGUAUUAUUAAAUACAAUAACAGAUAUGAAUCUGUUUAUUACCAAACUGUCCCAUGAGUGGAAUCUGAUUGUGAAAUGUCUGUCAUGCCCAUAAUGUUGUU